UCACCCCUCAAGCUCAGCUUGGUGUUGGGGCCUGCCCGUCACAGGGCAGCCCUUAAAAGCAGUGGCGGUGCCAUCUGGCUCUACGCGUAGUAAUACUUCUCGCGACAGAGUCCUGGUGGUGUCCUGCCAGAACCCCCCAUUUUUUAAU
rnacentral:misc_RNA from 1 species